rnacentral:rRNA from 1 species
UACGUAUGGUGCGAGCGUUAAUCGGAAUUACUGGGCGUAAAGCGUGCGCAGGCGGAUUGUUAAGCAAGAUGUGAAAUCCCCGGGCUUAACCUGGGAAUGGCAUUUUGAACUGGCAAUCUAGAGUGUGUCAGAGGGGGGUAGAAUUCCACGUGUAGCAGUGAAAUGCGUAGAGAUGUGGAGGAAUACCGAUGGCGAGGGCAGCCCCCUGGGUCGACACUGACGCUGAGGUGCGAAAGCGUGGGGAGCAAACAGG